GGCCUACUGGGCCUUCUGCGGGCCUGAAUCCUGGCCCAUGGAUGGGUUUCUAGUCGUAUUCAGGCCGUGGUGGCCUAGUAGGUGGCAUAAUUUUUAUUUUUUCCCUUUUUUUGUUUUCUUUUUUGCUUUAUUUAUUUUGUUUGGUUUCUACUAACAACAAAAAACUUAUUUAUUUUAUAUUAUUUUGUUUCUAAUUACUUAUUUAUUUUACUUUAUGAUAAUUCUUUUUGCUUUUAAAGUUUCUAACAAAAAAGUUCUUUAUGAAAAUUAUUUUUGCUUUCAAUGAUUUUGAACAGAAAAUACUUCGAUAAUUUUAGUUGCAUCAAUUUUAUAUAAUUUUAGUUUCAAUAAUACUAGAGGUUGCUUAUAAUGUUUUGAACAGAAAAUACUUUUAUAAUUUUAGUUUCAUAAAUUUUAUUUAUGUUAUUAAAGUUUAUUUUAUUUUGUUUCUACUUNNNNNNNNNNNNNNNNNNNNNNNNNNNNNNNNNNNNNNNNNNNNNNNNNNNNNNNNNNNNNNNNNNNNNNNNNNNNNNNNNNNNNNNNNNNNNNNNNNNNNNNNNNNNNNNNNNNNNNNNNNNNNNNNNNNNNNNNNNNNNNNNNNNNNNNNNNNNNNNNNNNNNNNNNNNNNNNNNNNNNNNNNNNNNNNNNNNNNNNNNNNNNNNNNNNNNNNNNNNNNNNNNNNNNNNNNNNNNNNNNNNNNNNNNNNNNNNNNNNNNNNNNNNNNNNNNNNNNNNNNNNNNNNNNNNNNNNNNNNNNNNNNNNNNNNNNNNNNNNNNNNNNNNNNNNNNNNNNNNNNNNNNNNNNNNNNNNNNNNNNNNNNNNNNNNNNNNNNNNNNNNNNNNNNNNNNNNNNNNNNNNNNNNNNNNNNNNNNNNNNNNNNNNNNNNNNNNNNNNNNNNNNNNNNNNNNNAUUUUUCAUGCAUUUACUGAUUAUUUUGAGCUAUAAGACCCUAAAAUUGAAAAGCAUUUCAAAUGAACUCUGAAAAGGUUGAAAGUUGGCAUGGUAUCAUCAUUUCAUCCACAUAGCAUGUGCAAGAAAGUUGAGAGGGUUACGGCAAAAACUGGAUGCACUUCGUGUACAAAACGGACAAUCUCUUUCGAAGUAUCAGGAUUUCAUACGGAAACUCGUCUGUUACAAAGGGAUUUCAUUUUUUAAAACUUAUUUGAACUCCUGACUUUUUGUGUGUUCAAAAUGCACCAUUCAAAGCCACAUCUCAUCAAUUUUCAACCCUUUCUGACUUCAUUUGUUAUUUUUCAUGCAUUUACUAAUUAUUUUGAGCUAUAAGACCCUAAAAUUGAAAAGCAUUUCAAAUGAACUCUGAAAAGGUUGAAAGUUGGCAUGGUAUCAUCAUUUCAUCCACAUAGCAUGUGCAAGAAAGUUGAGAGGGUUACGGCAAAAACUAGAUGCACUUCGUGUAUAAAACGGACAAUGGUAUCAUACUCGUCUGUUACAAAGUUGGCACGGUAUCAUCAUAAUAGUUGCGGGAGAAAGUCUUCACUUUUUCUUUGCUUGUGUCAUUUUCUUAUUGCGCCGUAACCAUGGAUAAUCUUCAUCGUUUAUCAGGAUGCUUGGGUCAGCCUUGACUUUGAAGGGAGGAAUUUCAUGAAACUUUUCAUAAUCUUCAGACAUGUCUGUCUUGCCCUCCACUCCCACAAUGUCCCUUUUUCCUUAAAGAACUAUGUGGCGCUUUGGCUCAUCGUCUGAUGUAUUCGCUUCCUUAUCUUUUCUUUUUCUCGGUCUGGUAGACAUGUCCUUCACAUAGAUAACAUGUGCCACAUCAUUGGCUAGGACGAACGGUUUGUCAAUGUACCCAAGAUUGUUCAGAUUCACUGUUGUCAUCCCGUACUGUGGGUCUACUGACACAUUGACCCAUUUGCACUUAAACAAAGGGACCUUAAAAUCAUGUUCGUAGUCAAGUUCCCAUAUGUCCAUUAUGUAACCAUAAUAUGUGUCCUUUCCCCUCUCGGUUCCUGCAUCAAAGCGGACACCGCUGUUUUGGUUGGUGCUCUUUUGAUCUUGGGCGAUCGUGUAAAGGUACACUACAGGUAUCUCCAAAAGUGUCUGUUGGGUUGGCACGAAUCGAGAUUGGGAUUUGUCACUCCAUAUGACGGAGAGGUAUCUCUGGGCCCACUCGGUAAUGCAUCAUCAUAAUGAGCUCAAUGUGACUAAUGAGUUAGUCACGGGAUCAUGCGUUACGGAACGAGUAAAGAGACUUGCCGGUAACGAGAUUGAACGAGGUAUGGGGAUACCGACGAUCGAAUCUCGGGCAACUAACAUACCGAUAGACAAAGGGAAUUGUAUACGGGAUUGAUUGAAUCCUCGACAUCGUGGUUCAUCCGAUGAGUCAUCGAGGAGCAUGUGGGAGCCAACAUGGGUAUCCAGAUCCCGCUGUUGGUUAUUGACCGGAGAGUCGUCUCGGUCAUGUCUGCGUGUCUCCCGAACCCGUAGGGUCUACACACUUAAGGUUCGGUGACGCUAGGGUUGUAGAGAUAUUAGUAUGCGGUAACCCUAAAGUUUUUCGGAGUCCCGGAUGAGAUCCCGGACAUCACGAGGAGUUCCGGAAUGGUCCGGAGGUAAAGAUUUGUAUAUAGGAAGUCCAGUUUCGGCCACCGGGAAAGUUUCGGGGUUCACCGGUAUUGUACCGGGACCACCGGAAGGGUCCCGGGGGUCCACCUAUCCCGGAGGGCCCCAUGGGCUGAAGUGGGAAGGGAACCAGCCCCUGGUGGGCUGGUGCGCCCCAUGGGCCUUCCCCUGCGCCUAGUGUUGGAAACCCUGGGGGUGGGGGCACCCCACCUGACUUGGGGGGUAAGUUCCCCCUUGGCCGCCGCCCCCCCUUGAGAUUGGAUCUCUAGGGGCCGGCACCCCCCCAGGGCCCCUAUAUAAAGAGGGGGGAGGGAGGGCUGCGCACCCAAGCCCCUGGCGCCUCCCUCUCCCCCCGUAACACCUCUCCCUCUCGCUGAGCUUGGCGAAGCCUUGCCGAGAUGCCCGCUGCUUCCACCACCACGCCGUCGUGCUGCUGGAUCUCCAUCAACCUCUCCUCCCCCUUGCUGGAUCAAGAAGGAGGAGACGUCUCUCCCAACCGUACGUGUGUUGAACGCGGAGGUGCCGUCCGUUCAGCGCUAGGAUCAUCGGUGAUUUGGAUCACGACGAGUACGACUCCAUCAACCCCGUUCUCUUGAACGCUUCCGCUCGCGAUCUACAAGGGUAUGUAGAUGCACUCCUCUCUCUCGUUGCUAGAUGACUCCAUAGAUUGAUCUUGGUGAUGCGUAGAAAUUUUUAAAUUUCUGCUACGAUCCCCAAUAGUGGUAUCAGAGCUAGGUCUAUGCGUAGAUUCUAUGCACGAGUAGAACACAAAGUAGUUGUGGGCGAUGAUUUGUUCAAUUUUCUUGCCGUUACUAGUCUUAUCUUGAUUCGGCGGCAUUGUGGGAUGAAGCGGCCCGGACCGACCUUAUACGUACUCUUACGUGAGACAGGUUCCACCGACUGACAUGCACUUGAUGCAUAAGGUGGCUAGCGGGUGUCUGUCUCUCCCACUUUACUCGGAUCGGAUUCGAUGAAGAGGGUCCUUAUGAAGGGUAAAUAGCAAUUGGCAUAUCACCGUUGUGGCUUUUGCGUAGGUAAGAAACGUUCUUGCUAGAAACCCAUAGCAGCCACGUAAAACAUGCAACAACAAUUAGAGGACGUCUAACUUGUUUUGCAGGGUAUGCUAUGUGAUGUGAUAUGGCCAAAAGGAUGUGAUGAAUUAUAUAUAUGUGAUGUAUGAGAUUGAUCAUGUUCUUGUAAUAGGAAUCACGACUUGCAUGUCGAUGAGUAUGACAACCGGCAGGAGCCAUAGGAGUUGUCUUCAUUUAUUGUAUGACCUGCGUGUCAAUGAGAAACGCCAUGUAAUUACUUUACUUUAUUGCUAACCGUUAGCCAAGGUAGUAGAAGUAAUAGUUGGCGAGACAACUUCAUGAAGACACGAUGAUGGAGAUCAUGAUGAUGGAGAUCAUGGUGUCAUGCCGGUGACGAAGGUGAUCAUGCCGUGCUUCGAAGAUGGAGAUCAAAAGGCGCAAGAUGAUAUUGGCCAUAUCAUGUCACUUUAUGAUUUGCAUGUGAUGUUUGUGAUGUUUACAUCUUAUUUGCUUAGAACGACGAUAGCAUAAAUAAGAUGAUCCCUCACUAAAAUUUCAAGAGAUGUGUUCCCCCUAACUGUGCACCGUUGCGAAGGUUCGUUGUUUCGAAGCACCACGUGAUGAUCGGGUGUGAUAGAUUCUAACGUUCGCAUACAACGGGUGUAAGCCAGAUUUACACAUGCGAAACACUUAGGUUGACUUGACGAGCCUAGCAUGUACAGACAUGGCCUCGGAACACAAGAGACCGAAAGGUCGAACAUGAGUCGUAUAGUAUAUACGAUCAACAUGAAGAUGUUCACCGAUGAUGACUAGUCCGUCUCACGUGAUGAUCGGACAUGGCCUAGUUGACUCGGAUAAUUUAUCACUUAGAUGACUAGAGGGAUGUCUAUCUAUGUGGGAGUUCAUUAAAUAAUCAUAUGAACUUAAUUAUCAUGAACAUAGUCAAAAGGUCUUUGCAAAUUAUGUCGUAGCUUACGCUUUAGUUCUACAGUUUAAGAUAUGUUCCUAGAGAAAAUUUAGUUGAAAGUUGAUAGUAGCAAUUAUGCGGACUGGGUCCGUAAACUGAGGAUUGUCCUCAUUGCUGCACAGAAGGCUUAUGUCCUUAAUGCACCGCUCGGUGUGCUGAACCUCGAGCGUCGUUUGUGGAUGUUGCGAACAUCUGACAUACACGUUUUGAUGACUACGUGAUAGUUCAGUGCGUAAUGUUGAACGGUUUAGAAUUGAGGCACCGAAGACAUUUUGAAACGUCGCGGAACAUAUGAGAUGUUCCAAGAGCUGAAAUUGGGAUUUUAGGCUCGUGCCCACCUCAAGAGGUAUGAGACCUGUGACAAGUUUCUUAAGCCUGCAAACUAAGGGAGAAAAGCUCAAUCGUUGAGCAUGUGCUCAGAUUGUCUGAGUACUACAAUCGCUUGGAUCGAGUGGGAGUUAAUCUUCCAAAUGAGAUAGUGAUGGUUCUCCAUAGUCACUGCCACCAAGCUAUUAGAGCUUCGUGAUGAACUAUAACAUAUCAGGGACAGACAUGAUGAUCCUUGAGCAACUCGCGAUGUUUGACACCGCGAAAGUAGAAAUCAAGUAGGAGCAUCAAUUGUUGAUGGUUAGUAAAACCACUAGUUUCAAGAAGGGCAAGGGAAAGAAGGGAUACUUCAUGAAACGGCAAAUCAGUUGCUGCUCUAGUGAAGAAACCCAAGGUUGAACCCAAACCCGAGACUAAGUGCUUCUGUAAUGAGGGGAACGGUCACUGAAGCAGAACUACCCUAGAUACUUGGUAGAUGAGAAGGCAGGCAAGGUCGACAGAAGUAUAUUGCAUAUACAUUAUAUCAAUGUGUACUUUACUAGUACUCCUAGUAGCACCAGGGUAUUAGAUACCGGUUUGGUUGCUAAGUGUUGGUAACUCGAAAUAAAAGGCUGCGGAAUAAACGGAGACUAGCUAAAGGUGAGAUGACGAUAUGUGUUGGAAGUGUUUCCAAGGUUGAUGUGAUCAAACAUCGCACGCUCCCUCUACCAUUGAGAUUGGUGUUAAACCUAAAUAAUUGUUAUUUGGUGUUUGCGUUGAGCAUAGACAUGAUUGGAUUAUGUUUAUCGCAAUACGGUAAUUCAUUUAAGGAGAAUAAUGGUUACUCUGUUUGAGUAAUACCUUCAAUGGUCUUGCACCUAAAAUGAAUGGUUUAUUGAAUCUCGAUCGUAGUGAUACACAUGUUCAUGCCAAAAGAUAUAAGACAGUAAUGAUAGUACCACAUACUUGUGGCACUGCCACUUGAGUCAUAUUGGUAUUAAAAGCAUGAAUAAGCUCCAUGUUGAUGGAUCUUUGGACUCACUCGUUUUUGAAAAGAUUGAGAUAUGUGAACCAUGUCUAUUAGUAUAUAUGCAUGAAGAAAGUCCAUACAGAUGGAUCGUUUGGACUCACUUGAUUUUGAAUCACUUGAGACAUGCAAAUCAUACCACAUGGGCAAGAUGACUGAAAGGCCUCGUUUUCAGUAAGAUGGAACAAGAAAGCAACUUGUUGGAAGUAAUACAUUUUGAUGUGUGCAGUCCAAUGAGUGCUGAGGCAUGCAGUGGAUAUCGUUAUGUUCUUACUUCACAGAUGUUUUGAGUAGAUGUUGAGUAUAUUUACUUGAAGAAACACAAGUCUGAAUUAUUGAAAGGUUCAAGUAAUUUCAGAGUGAAGUUGAAGAUCGUUGUGACAAGAGGAUAAAAUGUCUGUGAUAUGAUCAUAGAGAUGAAUAUCUGAGUUACGAGUUUGGCACACAAUUAAGACAUUGUGGAAAUUGUUUCACAACUGAUACCGCCUGGAACACCAUAGUGUGAUGGUGUGUCCGAACAUCAUAACUACACCCUAUUGGAUAUGGUGCAUACCAUGAUUUCUCUUAUCGAAUUACCACUAUCGUUUAUGGGCUAGGCAUUAGAGACAACCGCAUUCACUUUAAUAGGGCACCACGCAAUUCCGUUGAGACGACACCGUAUGAACUAUGGUUUAGAGAAACCUAAGCUGUCGUUUCUUAAAAGUUUGGGGCUGCGACGCUUAUGAAAAAAGUUUCAGGCUGAUAAGCUCGAACCCAAAGCGGAUAAAUGCAUCUUCAUAGAAUACCCAAAACAGUUGGGUAUACCUCCUAUUUCAGAUCUGGAAGCAAAAGUGAUUGUUUCUAGAAUCGGGUCCUUUCUUAAGGAAAAGUUUCUCUCGAAAGAAUUGAGUGGGAGGAUGGUGGAGACUUGAUGAGGUUAUUGAACCAUGACUUCAACUAGUGUGUAGCAGCGCACAAGAAGUUGUUCCUGUGGCGCCUACACCAAUUGAAGUGGAAGCUAAUGAUAGUGAUCAUGAAACUUCGGAUCAAGUCAUUACCAAACCUCGCAGGUCGACAAGGAUGCGUACUACUUCAGAGUGGUAUGGUAAUCCUGUCUUGGAAGUCAUGUUGCUAGACAACAAUGAAACCUACGAGCUAUGGAGAAGCGAUGGUGGGCCCGGAUUCCGACGAAUGGCUCGAGGCCAUAAAAUCCGAGAGAAUCCAUGUAUGAAAACAAAGUAUAGACUUUGGAAGAACUACUUGAUGGUCGUAAGGCUGUUGGGUAUAGAUGGAUUUUAAAGGGAAAAUAGACAAUGAUGGUAAGUAUCACCAUUAAGAAAGCUCGACUUGUCGUUAAGAUGUUUUCUGACAAGUUCAAGGAGUUGACUACGAUGAGACAUUCUCACUCGUAGCGUUGCUAAGAGUCUGUUGGAAUUAUAUUAGCAGUUACUGCAUUAUUUAUGAAAUCUUGCAGAUAGGACGUCAAAACAUUGUUUCCUCGACGAUUUUCUUGAGGAAAGGUUGUAUGUGAUACAACCAGAAGGUUUUGUCAAUCCUGAAAGAUGCUAACAAGUAUGCAAAGCUCCAGCAAUCCUUCUAAGGACUGGGGUAAGCAUCUCGGAGAUGGAAUGUACGCUUUGAUGAGAUGAUCAAAGAUUUUGGGUUUAUACAAAGUUUAUGAGAAACUUGUAUUUCGAAAGAAGUGAGUGUGAGCACUAUAGAAUUUUUGAUGAGUAUAUGUUGUUAACAUAUUAUUGAUCAGAAAUGAUGUAGAAUUUCUAGAAAGCAUAGAAGGUUAUUUGAAAAGUGUUUUUCAAUGGAAAACUUGGAUUAAGCUACUUGAACAAUGAGCAUCAAGAUCUAUAAGGAUAGAUCAAAAACGCUUAAUAGUACUUUCAAAUGAAUACAUACCAUGACAAGAUUUUGAAGGAGUUCAAAAUAGAUCAGCAAAGAAGGAUUUCUUGGCUGUGUUACAAGGUGUGAGUAUUGAGUAAGACUCAAGACCUGACCACAACAGAAGAGAGAGAAAGGACGAAGGUCGUCCCCUAUGCUUUAGACGCAGGCUCUACAGUAUGCUAUGCUGUGUACCGCACUUGAAGUGUGCCUUGCCAUGACUUAGUCAAGGGGUACAAGAGUGAUCCAGGAAUGGAUCACAUGACAGCGGUUGAACUUAUCCUUAGUAACUAGUGGACUAAGGAAUUUUCUCGAUUAUGGAGGUGGUAAAAGAGUUCGUCAUAAAGGGUUACGUCGAUGCAAACUUUGACACUAAUCCGGAUGACUCUGAGUAGUAAACCGGAUUCGUUUAGUAGAGCAGUUAUUUGGAAUAGCUCCAAGUAGCGCGUGGUAGCUGCAUCUAUAAGAUGACAUAGAGAUUUGUAAAGCACACACAGAUCUGGAAGGUUCAGACCCGUUGACUAAAAAACCUCUCUCACAAGCGAGAUAUGAACAAACCCCAUGGGUGUUGGAUUCAUUACAAUCACAUAGUGAUGUGAACUAGAUUAUUGACUCUAGUGCAAGUGGGAGACUGUUGGAAAUAUGCCCUAGAGGCAAUAAUAAAAUGGUUAUUAUUGUAUUUCCUUGUUCAUGAUAAUUGUCUAUUGUUCAUGCUAUAAUUGUGUUAUCCGGAAAUCGUAAUACAUGUGUGAACACAUAGACCAUAACAUGUCCCUAGUGAGCCUCUAGUUGACUAGCUCGUUGAUCAAUAGAUGGUUACGGUUUCCUAACCAUGGACAUUGGAUGUCAUUGAUAACGGGAUCACAUCAUUAGGAGAAUGAUGUGAUGGACAAGACCCAAUCCUAAGCAUAGCACAAGAUCGUGUAGUUCGUUUGCUAAGAGCUUUUCUAAUGUCAAGUAUUGUUUCCUUAGACCAUGAGAUUGUGCAACUCCCGGAUAGCGUAGGAAUGCUUUGGGUGUACCAAACGUCACAACGUAACUGGGUGGCUAUAAAGGUACACUACAGGUAUCUCCGAAAGUGUCUGUUGGGUUGGCACGAAUCGAGAUUGGGAUUUGUCACUCCGUAUGACGGAGAGGUAUCUCUGGGCCCACUCGGUAAUGCAUCAUCAUAAUGACCUCAAUGUGACUAAUGAGUUAGUCAUGGGAUCAUGCGUUACGGAACGAGUAAAGAGACUUGCCGGUAACGAGAUUGAACGAGGUAUGGGGAUACCGACGAUCGGAUCUCGGGCAAGUAACAUACCGAUAGACAAAGGGAAUUGUAUACGGGAUUGAUUGAAUCCUCGACAUCGUGGUUCAUCCGAUGAGAUCAUCGAGGAGCAUGUGGGAGCCAACAUGGGUAUCCAGAUCCCGCUGUUGGUUAUUGACUGGAGAGUCGUCUCGGUCAUGUCUGCGUGUCUCCCGAACCCGUAGGGUCUACACACUUAAGGUUCGGUGACGCUAGGGUUGUAGAGUUAUUAGUAUGCGGUAACCCGAAAGUUGUUCGGAGUCCCGGAUGAGAUCUCGGACAUCACGAGGAGUUCCGGAAUGGUCCGGAGGUAAAGAUUUGUAUAUAGGAAGUCCAGUUUCGGCCACCGGGAAAGUUUCAGGGGUCACCGGUAUUGUACCGGGACCGCCGGAAGGGUCCCGGGGGUCCACCGGGUGGGGCCACCUAUCCCGGAGGGCCCCAUGGGCUGAAGUGCGAAGGGAACCAGCCCCUGGUGGGCUGGUGCGCCCCAUGGGCCUCCCCCUGCACCUAGGGUUGGAAACCCUGGGGGUGGGGGGCGCCCCACCUGACUUGGGGGGCAAGUUCCCCCUUGGCCGCCACCCCCCCUUGAGAUUGGAUCUCUAGGAGCCGGCGCCCCCCAGGGCCCCUAUAUAAAGAGGGGGGGAGGGAGGGCUGCGCACCCAAGCCCCUGGCGCCUGCCUCUCCCCCCGUAACGCCUCUCCCUCUCGCUGAGUUUGGCGAAGCCCUGCCGAGAUCCCCGCUGCUUCCACCACCAUGCCGUCGUGCUGCUGGAUCUCCAUCAACCUCUCCUCCCCCCUUGCUGGAUCAAGAAGGAGGAGACGUCUCUCCCAACCGUACGUGUGUUGAACGCGGAGGUGCCAUCCGUUCGGCGCUAGGAUCAUCGGUGAUUUGGAUCACGACGAGUACGACUCCAUCAACCCCGUUCUCUUGAACGCUUCCGCUCGCGAUCUACAAGGGUAUGUAGAUGCACUCCUCUCUCUCGUUGCUAGAUGACUCCAUAGAUUGAUCUUGGUGAUGCGUAGAAAAUUAUAAAUUUCUGCUACGAUCCCCAACACCCGCCUCCUGACAGAUUGACCCAUUUGCACUUAAACAAAGGGACCUUAAAAUCAUGUCCAUAGUCAAGUUCCCAUAUGUCCAUUAUGUAACCAUAAUAUGUGUCGUUUCCCCUCUCAGUUGCUGCAUCAAAGCGGACACCGCUGUUUUGGUUGGUGCUCUUUUGAUCUUGGGCGAUCGUGUAAAAUGUAUUCCCAUUUAUCUCGUAUCCUUUGUAAGUCAAUACAGUCGAAGAUGGUCCCAUGGACAACGAGUACAACUCAUCACAAACAGUGGUGUCACCUCUGAGACGUGUUUCCAACCAACUACUGAAAGUCCUGAUGUGUUCACAUGUAAUCCAGUCGUCACACUGCUCCGGGUGUUUGGAGCGCAGACUGUUCUUGUGUUCAUCGACAUACGGGGUCACCAAGGUAGAGUUCUGUAGAACUGUGUAGUGUGCUUGAGACCAAGAAUAUCUGUCCCUGCAUAUUAUUGAGUCCCCUCCAAGCGUGCCUUUUCCAGUCAGUCUCCCCUCAUACCGCGAUUUAGGGAGACCUAUCUUCUUAAGGCCAGGAAUGAAGUCAACACAAAACCCAAUGACAUCCUCUGUUUGAUGGCCCAUGGAGAUGCUUCCUUCUGGCCUAGCGCGGUUACAGACAUAUUUCUUUGGGACUCCCAUGAACCUCUCAAAGGGGAACAUAUUGUGUAGAAAUACGGGCCCCAGAAUGACAAUCUCGUCGACUAGAUGAACUAGGACGUGCGUCAUGAUAUUGAAGACAGAUGGUGGGAACACCAGCUCGAAACUGACAAGACAUUGUGCCACAUCACUCCUUAGCCUUGGUAUGAUUUCUAGAUCGAUCACCUUCUGAGAGAUAGCAUUGAGGAAUGCACAUAGCUUCAGAAUGGCUAAUCGGACGUUUUUCAGUAGAAGCCCCCUCAAUGCAACCGGAAGCAGUUGCGUCAUAAUCACGUGGCAGUCAUGAGACUUUAGGUUCUGGAACUUUUUCUCUGGCAUAUUUAUUAUUCCCUUUAUAUUCGAUGAGAAGCCAGUCGGGACCUUCAUACUGAGCAGGCAUUCAAAGAAGAUUUCUUUCUCUUCUUUCGUAAGAGCGUAGCUGGCAGGACCUUCAUACCGCUUCGGAGGCAUGCCGUCUUUUUCGUGCAAACGUUGCAGGUCCCCCCGUGCCUCAGGUGUAUCUUUUGUCUUCCCAUACACGCCCAAGAAGCCUAGCAGGUUCACGCAAAGGUUCUUCGUCACGUGCAUCACGUUGAUUGAAGAGCGGACCUCUAGCUCUUUCCAGUAGGGUAGGUCCCAAAAUAUAGAUUUCUUCUUCCACAUGGGUGCGUGUCCCUCAGCGUCAUCCGGAACAGCUAGUCCACCGGGACCCUUUCCAAAGAUUACGUGUAAAUCAUUGACCAUAGCAAGUACAUGAUCACCGGUACGCAUGGCGGGCUUCUUCCGGUGAUCUGCCUCGCCUUUGAAAUGCUUGCCUUUCUUUCGACCUUGAUGGUUGGUCGGAAGAAAUCGACGAUGGCCCAGGUACACAUUCUUCCUGCAUUUGUCCAGGUAUAUACUUUCAGUGUCAUCCAAACAGUGCGUGCAUGUGUGGUAUCCCUUGUUUGUCUGUCCUGAAAGGUUACUGAGAGCGGGCCAAUCGUUGAUGGUUACAAACAGCAACGCGUGCAGGUUAAAUUCCUCCUGUUUGUGCUCAUCCCACGUACGUACACCGUUUCCAUUCCACAUCUGUAAAAUUUCUUCAACUAAUGGCCUUAGGUACACAUCAAUGUCGUUGCCGGGUUGCUUAGGGCCUUGGAUGAGAACUGGCAUCAUAAUGAACUUCCGCUUCAUGCACAUCCAAGGAGGAAGGUUAUACAUAGAUAGAGUCACGGGCCAGGUGCUGUGAUUGCUGCUCUGCUCCCUGAAAGGAUUAAUGCCAUCCGCGCUUAAACCAAACCAUACGUUCCUUGGGUCAGCUGCAAACUCAGCCCAGUACUUUCUCCCGAUUUUUCUCCACUGCGACCCGUCAGCGGGUGCUCUCAACUUCCUGUCUUUCUUACGGUCCUCACUGUGCCAUCGCAUCAACUUGGCAUGCUCUUCGUUUCUGAACAGAUGUUUCAACCGUGGUAUUAUAGGAGCAUACCACAUCACCUUCGCAGGAACCCUCUUCCUGGGGGCUCGCCGUCAACAUCACCAGGGUCAUCUCGUCUGAUCUUAUAUCGCAAUGCACCGCAUACCGGGCAUGCGUUCAGAUCCUUGUACGCACCGCGGUAGAGGAUGCAGUCAUUAGGGCAUGCAUGUAUCUUCUGCACCUCCAAUCCUAGAGGGCAUACGACCUUCUUGGCUGCGUAUGUACUGUCGGGCAAUUCGUUAUCCUUUGGAAGCUUCUUCUUCAAUAUUUUCAAUAGCUUCUCAAAUCCUUUGUCAGGCACAACAUUCUCUGCCUUCCACUGCAGCAAUUCCAGUACGGUACCGAGCUUUGUAUUGCCAUCUUCGCAAUUGGGGUACAACCCUUUUUUGUGAUCCUCUAACAUGAGAUCGAACUUCAGCUUCUCUUUUUGACUUUCGCAUUGCGUCCUUGCAUCGACAAUGACCCGGCGGAGAUCAUCAUCAUCGGGCACUGGUUCCUCUUGAUCUUCAGCAGCUUCCCCCCUUGCAGCAUCAUUGGGCACAGCGUCUGGUUCCUCUUGAUCUUCAGCAACUUGCCCCGUUGCAGCAUCACCGUAUUCAGGGGGCACAUAGUUGUCAUCGUCCUCUUCUUCUUCGCCGUCUUCCAUCAUAACCCCUAUUUCUCCGUGCCUCGUCCAAACAUUAUAGUGUGGCAUGAAACCCUUGUAAAGCAGGUGGGUGUGAAGGAUUUUCCGGUCAGAGUAAGACUUCGUAUUCCCACAUAUAGGGCAUGGACAACACAUAAAACCAUUCGGCUUGUUUGCCUCAGCCACUUCGAGAAAAUCAUGCACGCCCUUAAUGUACUCGGAGGUGUGUCUGUCACCGUACAUCCAUUGCCGGUUCAUUUGCGUGCAUUAUAUAUAAUUAAGUGUGUCAAAAACCAUUACAGAACAUCAUGAAUAGAUAAUUAAGUGACCAAAUUAAUAGAAGUUCAUCAUCACAUUAAAACCAAAGUACAUACAUAGUUCUCAUCUAACAACAUAUAUAUAGCUCUCCAGAGCAUCUAAUUAAUUAAACCAUACAUUGAAACUAUGUAAAACAUUUCAAUGCGAAAACAAAUGCGAUCAUAAUCGCAACCAAGGUAACAAUUGAUCCAACGGCAUAAUGAUACCAAGCCUCGAUAUGAAUGGCAUAUUUUCUAAUCUUUCUAAUCUUCAAGCACAUUGCAUCCAUCUUGAUCUUGUGAUCAUCGACGACAUCCGCAACAUGCAACUCCAAUAUCAUCUUCUCCUCCUCAAUUUUUUUAUUUUUUCCUUCAAGUAAUUGUUUUCUUCUUCAACCAAAUUUAACCUCUCGACAAUAGGGUCGGUUAGAAUUUCCGGUUCAACCGCCUCCUAGAUAAAUAAAAUCUAUGUCACGUUGGUCGGCAUAUUUGUCAUAAACAAUAAAUGAACCAAAUAUUUAUAAAAAGAUAAUAUAUACCACAUCCGAAUCAUAGACAGGACGAGGGCCGACGGGGGCGGAUACCAAAACCAUCAAUAAAAGUAAAAAAAAUUAGACAAGUAUCUAUCUAAAGUAAGAAUUUUUUUCUUUCAGAAAGAAGAUAAGAACAAGAGGCUCACCAUGGUGGUGCUGGCGACGAGAUCGGCGCGGGCGAUCGACGGCGGUGAAGACGGGGACGGGACGUGACGGACCGCUAAACCUAGACAAAUCUCGGGGAAAAUGGAGCACGGAGGUCGAGUUUCGAGAGGAGAAAGAUUAACUAGUGUGGCUCAGACAUUUCAUCGAACACCUCAUGUGCAUAGGAGGUGAGCUAGAGCAACCAAAUGCCCUCCCCACGCCGGCCAGAAAAAAUAGAGCACUGUGGAGUGCUCUGCUGUGGCGAUGGGGUAUAUAUAGGCAACUAAUUGGUCCCGGUUCGUGGCACCGACCGGGACUAAAGUCCUUUGGUCCCGGUUGGUGCCAUGAACCGGGACCAAUGCCCCCCUUUAGUCCCGGUUGGUGUCACCAACCGGGACCAAAGGCCUUGUGCUGCCCCGCGUCAAAAGUUUAGUCCCACCUCGCUAGUUGAGAGAGCUCGAGAGUGGUUUAUAAGCGCUGCUGCGCCCACCCUCUCGAGCUCCUCUCAAUUGCAGGCUUUCGGGCCUAACUGUUCUCUUUGCCUGUGGGGCCUACUAGGCCUUCUGCGGGGCUGAAUCCUGGCCCAUGGAUGGGUUUCAAGUCGUAUUCAGGCCGUGGUGGCCUAGUAGGUGGCAUAAUUUUUUUCCCUGUUUUUGUUUUCUCUUUUGCUUUAUUUAUUUUGUUUUGUUUCUACUUACAACAAAAAACUUAUUUAUUUUAUUCCAUUUUGUUUCUAAUUACUUAUGUAUUUUACUUUAUUUAUUUUAUUUUUAUUUAUUUUACUGCUGCUAUUUUUAUUUAUUUUACUGCUGCUAUUUUUAUUUAAUUUAUUAAGGUUUAUUUAUUUUAUUUACUAUAGUUUAUUUUAUUUUAUUUUAUUAAGGUUUAUUUAUUUUUAUUUAUUUUAUUAAGGUUUAUUUAUUUUAUUUACUAUAAGAAAAUGAACAUAGAUGCGCCUAUAGAGAAAAUUCAACCUAAAUUCAUAAUAAAUUUCUAUGAAAUUCAAAGAAAUUUACUGUGAAUUUAGGUCAAAUUCCUUGUAUAAGGGCAUCUAUUUUCACUUUGAGAGGAGCUAAACAAGGCAGAGAGGGACGGGCUUAUAAACCGGUG
rnacentral:lncRNA from 1 species